rnacentral:tRNA from 1 species
GAUCGUGUGGCCUAAUGGAUAAGGCGUCGGACUUCUAGUGUGUGGAAAGUGAUCCGAAAAUUGCGGGUUCGAUUCCCUCCACGAUUA